rnacentral:rRNA from 1 species
CUACGGGAGGCAGCAGUCGAGAAUCUUCCGCAAUGGACGAAAGUCUGACGGAGCGACGCCGCGUGCGGGAUGAAGGCCUUCGGGUUGUAAACCGCUGUCAGUGGGGAGGAAAUGCAUCAGGGUUCUCCCUGGUGUUUGACCGAUCCGCAGAGGAAGCGCAGGCUAAGUUCGUGCCAGCAGCCGCGGUAACACGAACUGCGCGAACGUUAUUCGGAAUCACUGGGCUUAAAGAGUUCGUAGGCGGCCUUUCAAGUCGGGUGUGAAAUCCCUCGGCUCAACCGGGGAAUUGCGCCUGAUACUGUUGGGCUGGAGGGGGAUAGGGGUGAGCGGAACUGAUGGUGGAGCGGUGAAAUGCGUUGAUAUCAUCAGGAACACCGGUGGCGAAGGCGGCUCACUGGAUCUCUUCUGACGCUGAGGAACGAAAGCUAGGGGAGCGAACGGGAUUAGAUACCCGAGUAGUC